rnacentral:rRNA from 1 species
GAGUGGCGAACGGGUGAGUAACACGUGGGUAACCUGCCCAUCAGAAGGGGAUAACACUUGGAAACAGGUGCUAAUACCGUAUAACACUAUUUUCCGCAUGGAAGAAAGUUGAAAGGCGCUUUUGCGUCACUGAUGGAUGGACCCGCGGUGCAUUAGCUAGUUGGUGAGGUAACGGCUCACCAAGGCCACGAUGCAUAGCCGACCUGAGAGGGUGAUCGGCCACACUGGGACUGAGACACGGCCCAGACUCCUACGGGAGGCAGCAGUAGGGAAUCUUCGGCAAUGGACGAAAGUCUGACCGAGCAACGCCGCGUGAGUGAAGAAGGUUUUCGGAUCGUAAAACUCUGUUGUUAGAGAAGAACAAGGAUGAGAGUAGAACGUUCAUCCCUUGACGGUAUCUAACCAGAAAGCCACGGCUAACUACGUGCCAGCAGCCGCGGUAAUACGUAGGUGGCAAGCGUUGUCCGGAUUUAUUGGGCGUAAAGCGAGCGCAGGCGGUUUCUUAAGUCUGAUGUGAAAGCCCCCGGCUCAACCGGGGAGGGUCAUUGGAAACUGGGAGACUUGAGUGCAGAAGAGGAGAGUGGAAUUCCAUGUGUAGCGGUGAAAUGCGUAGAUAUAUGGAGGAACACCAGUGGCGAAGGCGGCUCUCUGGUCUGUAACUGACGCUGAGGCUCGAAGGCGUGGGGAGCGAACAGGAUUAGAUACCCUGGUAGUCCACGCCGUAAACGAUGAGUGCUAAGUGUUGGAGGGUUUCCGCCCUUCAGU